GCGGACGCGGCUGGGGACAGAUGGGGACGCGGCGGGACAGACGACGCGGCAGGCCCGGGCCAGCCAGCCACAGGGUCCCCCCAAAAGGAGAGUGGACCUCCUGCUAAGAAGUGGGAUGGGCCGGCGGUGGGGAAGGGUCCCCUCGGAAAGAGCGUCCCCGCGUGAGCUGGGGCGCUUGGUGAGCCGGAGAGAUUUCGAAGUGGACCCGGGGAAGCUGCCCCCGUGGAGAACCGGGAUUCACGGCCGCCUGCUCCUUAGGCUGCUCCUAAUUGGGAGCCUCCCGUCGAUUUUGUGCAGCGUCCGAAUCCACUCACACCAUCGGCCACGUAGCACGAGGUGAGAGAGAAUUCCUAGGAAAGAAGACCAAGGCUGAAUCCCACUGCCCCUCACUUUAUGCAGUAGAUGUUUCUGAAAAGAUGUGGACUAAACAAUGGUCUGGAGAUACUGAACUGACAUCCUGUAAGAAUUUCAAUUUAUUGAACAUAACUGGUAACAUUUUGGAAGCUUAUGUGAGGAACGAUUGUUAUUUUCUUCAUAAACUUGGAUUUAAAUGUCCGUAUUCCAAAUGCUUUGUUGACUUAACCAAUGGCCCAUUGCGGGCAUGAAUUACACAGUGUAAAACUAAGAUAAGAAAUCACGUAAAUGCUGUCAGGAGAGGCAGCGCGGCCAGCUGUUCUCGGCGAACUGGGUGACAAAGUCCCAUCCCUCCUGCACGCCCACCACGGGGCCUCCCUCCUCAGUUCUCAGAGCUGCGAGCUGUCCAGUAGUAAAGGGGGAAUCUCUGAAGAGCUAUUUGGUCCAUUUAUGAUUUUAAAACGGAAGGAGCAGCAGGUGCUGUCAGCACCUUCAUGACAUGACCCUCCGGAACAGGUUCAGAGACGCUCCUGGGGACCCGGGAAGGGGUCGGGAGGCUCUGUGGCUCUGGUACCUCAGCGAGGUUCUCCGUCCCGACCACCCAUCAGAGUCAUCGGGGCAACUUUUAAAAAAUGGGUGCCCAGGCCCAGCGCAGCCCAUUAACCAGACUCUUGGGUGGAAGCUUCCAGUGUCAGGACCAAUGUCCACAGGUGAUUCCAACGUGUGGCUGUGAGCCAGCCGCCCAAGGGGAUGAAUCGGACACUGUGACAGGCUUAGCGGUGGAAGGAGUUUGGGGGCAAUUAGGCCUCAGGCCUGAAACCCCAUCAGGAUCCUGGCCUUCUCCCCGAUGCUCCGUGUCUUCAAGGAGUCCACAGCGGCUUGAGGAAAGCACACACACCCGAAAAAGCAUUUUGCCUGAAGGGUUUUGAAACUUGCCUGCAAGUUACUGUUAAAGAUGACACCUUUGCAAAUGUGGGUUUUGGAGGCCACUCCCACAUCACUGAGCACACUGUCCCCUCCACCCCCGCCAGUACAGACUGCUCCGCAAGUCCCGCUUGAGGACAGUGUCUUAUAGGAGACGCAAGCUCCACCCACACGCGUUCCUGAGCGCUGGCUCUGUGCCCGGCCUCACACUGACCACUGACAACACGCAGGUGAAGCUGUGGCCCUGCCCCAAGAACCUCCAUCCAGUCGGGGACAGAUGAGCAGACCAGGGGUUACAGCCGCUGUGCUGAGAGCCGAGACGAGGGUGCCGACAGCAUCCUCACCCCUGCCACCGUCCCGAAGGUGACAAGGGUGGGGACCAGCGUUUGA